rnacentral:rRNA from 1 species
AACGAACGCUGGCGGCGUGGAUAAGACAUGCAAGUCGCACGGGAUAUUUCUGGUAGCAAUAUUAGAAAUGUCCAGUGGCGCAAGGGUGCGUAACACGUGGGCAAUCUGCCGAGAAGUGGGGGAUAGCUCGCCGAAAGGCGAAUUAAUACCGCAUGUGGCCAGGGAGGACAUCCUCCCGACGCCAAAGCCGGGGCAACCUGGCGCUUCUUGAUGAGCCCGCGGCCAUCAGCUAGUUGGUGAGGUAACGGCUCACCAAGGCUAUGACGGGUAGCUGGUCUGAGAGGACGACCAGCCACACUGGAACUGAGACACGGUCCAGACACCUACGGGUGCAGCAGUCGAGAA